rnacentral:rRNA from 1 species
UGGGGAAUAUUGGACAAUGGGGGGCAACCCUGAUCCAGCAAUGCCGCGUGUGUGAAGAAGGUCUUCGGAUUGUAAAGCACUUUCGACGGGGACGAUGAUGACGGUACCCGUAGAAGAAGCCCCGGCUAACUUCGUGCCAGCAGCCGCGGUAAUACGAAGGGGGCUAGCGUUGCUCGGAAUGACUGGGCGUAAAGGGCGUGUAGGCGGUUUACACAGUCAGAUGUGAAAUCCCCGGGCUUAACCUGGGAGCUGCAUUUGAUACGUGUAGACUAGAGUGUGAGAGAGGGUUGUGGAAUUCCCAGUGUAGAGGUGAAAUUCGUAGAUAUUGGGAAGAACACCGGUGGCGAAGGCGGCAACCUGGCUCAUGACUGACGCUGAGGCGCGAAAGCGUGGGGAGCAAACAGGAUUAGAUACCCUGGUAGUCCACGCUGUAAAUGAUGUGUGCUAGAUGUUGGGUAACUUUGUUAUUCAGUGUCGCAGUUAACGCGUUAAGCACACCGCCUGGGGAGUACGGGCCGCAAGGU